rnacentral:rRNA from 1 species
CCUACGGGAGGCAGCAGUGGGGAAUAUUGGACAAUGGGGGAAACCCUGAUCCAGCGACGCCGCGUGAGUGAAGAAGUAUUUCGGUACGUAAAGCUCUAUCAGCAGGAAAGAAAAUGACGGUACCUGACUAAGAAGCCCCGGCGAACUACGUGCCAACAGCCGCGGGAAUACGGAGGGGGCAAGCGUUAUCCGGAUUUACGGGGGGUAAAGGGAGCGUAGAUGGCUGCGCAAGUCUGGAGUGAAAUGCCGGGGCCCAACCCCGGAACUGCUCUGGAAACUGGGAGGCUGGAGUGCGGGAGAGGUAAGCGGAAUGCCUGGUGUAGCGGUGAAAUGCAUAGAUAUCAGGAGGAACACCGGCGGCGAAGGCAGCUUACUGGCCUGUAACUGACGUUGAGGCACGAAGGCGUGGGGAGCGAACAGGAUUAGAUACCCUUGUAGUC